GCCGGGCAUGGUGGUGAAUGCCUGUAGUCCUGGCUACUUGGGAGGCUGAGACAGGAGAAUUGCUUGAACCCGGGAGGCGGAGGUUGCAGUGAGCCGAGAUUGCACCACUGCACUCUAGCCUGGGCAACACAGCAAGAUUCUGUCUCAA
ensembl:misc_RNA Metazoa_SRP Metazoan signal recognition particle RNA